rnacentral:tRNA from 1 species
GUGCGUGUAGUUUAAUGGCAGAACAUCAGACUUCCAAUCUGAUGGCGGGAGUUCGAUUCUCCUCACGCGCUCCA